GGAGAGGUGGCCGAGCUGGUCGAAGGCGCACGCCUGGAAAGCGUGUAGGUGCCAAAAGUGCCUCGAGGGUUCGAAUCCCUCCCUCUCCG
rnacentral:tRNA from 1 species